AUACGGAGGGUGCAAGCGUUAAUCGGAAUUACUGGGCGUAAAGCGCGCGUAGGCGGCUUUGUAAGUCGGAUGUGAAAGCCCUGGGCUUAACCUGGGAAUGGCAUUCGAUACUGCAGAGCUAGAGUAUGGUAGAGGGAAGUGGAAUUUCCGGUGUAGCGGUGAAAUGCGUAGAUAUCGGAAGGAACACCAGUGGCGAAGGCGACUUCCUGGGCCAAUACUGACGCUGAGGUGCGAAAGCGUGGGGAGCAAACAGGAUUAGAAACCCCGGUAGUCC
rnacentral:rRNA from 1 species